rnacentral:rRNA from 1 species
CAGCCGCCGCGGUAAUACGUAGGGUGCGAGCGUUAAUCGGAAUUACUGGGCGUAAAGGGUGCGUAGGCGGUCUGAUAAGUCUGAUGUGAAAUCUAUGGGCUCAACCCAUAGUCUGCAUCGGAAACUGUCAGGCUUGAGGAUGGGAGAGGUGAGUGGAAUUUCCGGUGUAGCGGUGAAAUACGUAGAUAUCGGAAGGAACACCUGUGGCGAAAGCGGCUCACUGGACCAUUUCUGACGCUGAUGCACGAAAGCUAGGGGAGCAAACAGGAUUAGAUACCCGGGUAGUCCCUGUCUCUUAUAC